rnacentral:rRNA from 1 species
CACGUAGGGUGCGAGCGUUGUCCGGAAUUAUUGGGCGUAAAGAGCUCGUAGGCGGUGUGUCGCGUCGGCCGUGAAAACCUGCAGCUUAACUGUGGGCGUGCGGUCGAUACGGGCAUCACUGGAGUUCGGCAGGGGAGACUGGAAUUCCUGGUGUAGCGGUGAAAUGCGCAGAUAUCAGGAGGAACACCGGUGGCGAAGGCGGGGCUCUGGGCCGAUACUGACGCUGAGGAGCGAAAGCGUGGGGAGCAAACAGG